GCGCGCACCGUUAAGAAAAAAGUAGAGCCGCGCCACUGGGCGCUGGUCGUGCAGGAUGGAGCAAGAGAAGGUCCCGCUGUGCGUGGGCUGCACCGGCCGGAUCCGCGCCAGGCCCCGCCUCUCACCUGGGCAGUCCAGCGGGAAGUUGCAGGCCUUGGAGUAGCACCCGUAGCAGAGGAAACGCCGGGCGACAUCCUGGAACCCUGUGGGACCGAAGCGUGCACCUGGGCUCCGUCUGCGUUCCCCAGCCGGGGUCCCUUUGGCCAACUUAAGGGUGGACCCUGAUCCAGCAUGACUGAUGGCAUUGUAAGAGGAGGAAAGCUAGACACAGACACACAAAGGGAAGAGCGUGUGAAGACACAGCAAAAGAGAAGAUGGUCAUCUACAAGCCAAAGAGAGAGGCCUCAGAAGGACCCAGCCCUGCUCACCCUGAUGCCUUGAUCUUGGACUUCUAGCCUCCAGAAUUGUGAACAAAUACCUUUCGGUUGUUUAAGCAACUCAGUUUACGGCACUUUGUUAUAGCAACUCCAGCAAGCUAACACACAGGGAUUGCUAGUUGCCUCCAAAUAUCUCUUUUAGUAACAUCACACUGCAUUUCGGCUGGGAAAGCACCCCCGGCCCCGCCAACCACCCAGCUAAAAGGCUAGAUUUCUCAACAGCCCUUGCUGCUUGUAGCUGCAGUCAUGUGACCCGGUUGUGGUCCUAUAACCAAGUUCAUAGGACAGAGUCUCAAAAGAGACACAGCACAUUUUGUCAAUCCUUCCCCUUUCUCCAUUUUGCUGCCUGAAGCUUGGAUGGAUGGCCGGAGCUCUAGCAGUCAUGCAGAACCACGAAGAUAAGGGCUCCACCCUAGGAUGGUAAAGCAGGCAGCCGGAAGGGAUUUGGGUCCCCAAGACGAAAUGGUGCUGCCGUACUGAAGUGCCUACCUCAAGACUUCUUUUACACGGGAGAAAUAAACUUCUAGCUUGCUUAAGCUGUUGCACA